GGGGAGAGCGGUCGAAGGUGGGACUGGCGAUUGGGACGAAGUCGUAACAAGGUAGCCGUACCGGAAGGUGCGGCUGGAUCACCUCCUUU
rnacentral:ncRNA from 1 species